rnacentral:tRNA from 1 species
GCCUGGCUAGUUUAGUCAGUAAUGCAUCAGACUUUUAAUCUGAGGAGUUAGAUUUCAAGUCCCUUGUCAGGCA